UCAUAGAUUAAUUAGCCUGGCAGAGGCAGAAGAAGGCAGUGAGAGCCAGCCAAAGGAGGCAGCACCGCCAGGACCCGAGGGGGGCCCCAGGGCCACUGACUUGGCUGAUGCCAAUGAGCUGGAGAAACCCUUCACCUCAGUCCCGGGAGGCGCCCCGACUCAGGGACCAGCGCCUACAGACCUAGAGGCUCACCUGCCUUUGCCCUGGGGCUUGUUCAAAUCCUGAGGGACACUAUUACUCCGGCAAAUGAAAUGGAAGCAACGGCGUGUGUAUGCACACACAUAUUCCUGGGUUAUAAGGACAGAUGGGAUAAAAAUCGCUAAAACUCCUGGGCAAGUGGGCUCUGUGUGAGUUAAAUGAAGACAGGGUUAUUAACACAGUGGUGGCGUUGAGCCCGGUCCUUGCAGCGAGGCGAGCGGCAGCGCCUCCCUCCGGACUCCCGCCCUGGAAGCCGGCGCGACUCGGGCGCUGUCACAGCCUCGGGAGCAGACGUGCCACUUGGAGCGGUUGGCACGGGGCGCGCUUCCUUCUGGCGAGAUUCCUGAUCAAGGAGAAGGCCAGGACAGUUGGUACUCAGUGCGGGAAUGAUGUAGCCGUUCAGACCUUUGCUUGUACUUCCAGAUUUGUAAGAUGAUGGUUGCUUUCCGUUCCUGGGAGAGAAUGGACUCAUUGAGAUCCUUUUAGGCAAAGCCUGCCCAGCCUGACCGAUGGAGGUGAGCUAGAUGGGUGUACUCACUUGUCACGCACUGAUUCAACAAACAUUUCUUGAGUACCUGCUGCAUUCAUGGAGCUGAUGUUCCCAUGGGGAGAGAGAGAUAAUAAACAGAUAAGAAGAGUAUUAGAGAAGUACUGUGCGAAGAAUUAAGAUACCAUGUCACAGGGUGACUAUUGGCUUCUUUUGAUUGAGUGGCCCAACAAGUCCUGGUUCAGGACAUGAGCUUUAAGCUGAGUUCUGAUUGGACAUGCAGUGAGUCUGAUAGGUGGCUAGACAGGGUGGAGAAAUCCACAGGGGAGCGGGGGCAGCUCUUCAAAGGCCACCAAGCACAAAUGGCAUUUUUGAGGAAGCAGAAGAAUAAAAGGAGCAUAGUGGCUGAGGGUCUGUAGUGGAAAAUGAGUUUACAGAGAGCUGGUCACCUAGUGUGUUGUGGUUCUCAGCCUGGGCUUCACAUUAGAAACAACUUUUCAAAAGUCACCUGGGGACAAAUCAAAUUGGAAUCUCUGAGGAGGGGACCAGGCAUCAAUUUCUGUUGCUGUUUGCUCUUUUUAUUUGCCCUUUUACUUUGUUUUGUUCCCAAAGGGAUUCUAAUUUGAAACCAGCAUGAUGAUUCAGGCUUUGGAAAAGGUGAGAAAUUGAGGUUUUAUUUUAACAUCAAUGCAAUGUCAUUGGAGUCCUUUAACAAAAGGCGGGUAGGGUCUGAUGUAUGUCUCCUGUGUGGAGAAGGUGAGAGAAGCGAGUGUGGAGCCACCAGGAGGCUGUGGCUGCCACUCUGGGAGCUGCCUGCAGUAGCGGGCAGGAGACAAGCAUUCCGCUUGGCUAAGUUUUGCAGAAAGUGCUGGCUGGAUAGCUGAUGAAUUGUAAAUUACGGGAGAGAAAGGAAGGAAUCAGGGAUGAUUUCUUGCUUUUUGGUUUGAGCAGUGAGGUAGCUGGUAGCUUUUUGUACUGAGUUGAGGGAAGCCUGAGGGAGGAGUAGGUUUUGGGGGAAAAAACCUGAGUUUGGUUGUAGUUUGUAUGUUAAGUGAAAUCUCUGCUUUAGCUUGAGUUUAAGCAAAGGCUCAUUGGAGUACCUAAAGCAGAAAGAGCAAAUCAGCAUGGAGAAGGUCCCAGAGGAUUAAAUCCGGUUGGAAGGGCAGGUUUUCGUUGCACAGAGCAGUGCAGACAGACUUCCAGGCUCGAACAGCUGCUGAGUGUUGAUGGGUUGGUCUCAGCAAGGAAGAGGAGGUCAGUGUGGCAGCAGUCAGGCGUGUGGGGAGGAAUGUGGCCGACAGAAGGGCUGAGAAGUUAGAUUGGGGCCGUUGAGUGUUACCCAAGAAGGCUCAACCGUCUUCGUCUUCAUGAGUUACUGGGAGUCUGUGAGGAAGUCUGAGGCCUGUGGGGGUUUGAGCAGACUUGGUUGGAAGGCUGGAUCCAGUGGCUCUCAGCAGUGGAUUAGAGGUAUGAGGGGAGGCAGGGAGACUGAUUGGGGGCUCCUGUGGUGAGUCACAGUGUGGCCCAUGAAUGAGGACCUGAGAUGGGGCAAUGGUG
ensembl:lncRNA